UAUUGGCACGAGUGUCGCAGGAUGAUGUGUUUGCUGGAGAUGCCAUUUGAAAAUAUAGGCAGUGUAAGCACUGUAGAAUCUAAUUAUUUCUUUGCAAAACCUAAUUAGGCAUUAAAAAAGGUUAACGCCAGCGCCUGAAACGUUUUUGUUUAAUAAUCCCAUUACUGACGGCUCAUCAUGUAUAAAAUGGUGCAGGAGGACACUAAGUUUCCACUUGUUAAACGGAAUCUCUGAGAAAUAGUCGCACUUUUUUGACACUAUCUGCGUUUGGAAAUUAGGGCUCGUAAUUAAACUGCGGAGACUCAGCACAGCUCAGAAGCUUCCUGGAAGGCUGUGAUUGGCUGCCUGUCUUGGGGUCUGUGAUAGCAGCCCUGGAGCCGAGGAUGAUUGAUGAUGGUGAGGGCAAGGCCGAGCGCUGGCAGCAUAAAGCCCCAUAGACGCCUCAAUAAAGAGCCUGGGCUAGUGGAGAGCCUGGGCCCCCGCUCAAUAGGGCCCCCACCGCCUCUGAGGACCCACGGCUGGAGGAGUGCAUGGAGAGAGAGCGAGAGAGAUAGAAAGAGAGAGAGAGAGAGAGAUAGAGGAGAAGGAGAGGUGCUCUGUUGUUGGAUAAUCCGUUUAGCUAUCGAGCCAGCAGCCGUCUGAGGCUGGAUAAGUGCAGCAACGGAUGUGUGUGGGGUGAAAAUAGCAGGGGUUGGCUGGUGGAGAGCGGGGGGGGGGGGGGGGGGCAGAGGAUAUGAAGCGAGAGUGAAAGAAAAAAACGGAGCCUGCGGAUGCAUUAUGGGAAAAAAAGGGAAGUGUUAUAAACAAACCUGCAGACGAGAUCUGCAAAGCUGCUUUUCACAUUAUGCUGGAAAAGCCAAAAAGUUGAAAAAAGUGAACCUGCACGAUAUGUGUGAGUCCUCUCCUCGUCUUCUUCUUCUCUGGUGGCCGUCCUGACCUUUUCUUCAGCAGAUCAAUGAGACCCUGCCUGGUUGGAUUCCACCGGUGCAGCGUCCCCAGACCGCACGCAGCCCUGUUGUAACCCCGCAGCAGCACAGCAGCUCUGAAAAGCACAAUUAGGCAGCAAUCUGCUCCCACCAAGCCGGCUUUCAGCGACUCCAGCGUGGAUACACGACGUCCUGCAGACCCUCCACGCUGGAAGUUGGCAGGAUGAAGGCCAGAGAGAGAGAGAGAGAGAGAGAGAGAGAGAGAGAGAGCAGCAGAGUGAUGGCCUGAUGGUCGUUUUUCACUCGGCAUGGAAUCACAGAGAUGAAAGAUAU